rnacentral:miRNA from 1 species
CGCUGACCUGCACAGCUUGGGGGCACCGGGCGGCAGGAGCGUCCUCACUGUCCUGUGCCCUCUCAGCCUCCCCCUGUGCUAAGGGGAGCGCAGGAUCCUGGGCUGUGUCCCCCAGAGCCCUGAGAUCUGGGGCCUGCGCUGCUGG